rnacentral:rRNA from 1 species
CCCUUAGAUGUUCUGGGCCGCACGCGCGCUACACUGACGAAUGCAACGAGCUUAUAACCUUGGCCGAAAGGUCUGGGUAAUCUCCAAAUUUCGUCGUGAUGGGGAUAGAUUAUUGCAAUUAUUAAUCUUCAACGAGGAAUGCCUAGUAAGCGCAAGUCAUCAGCUUGCGUUGAUUACGUCCCUGCCCUUUGUACACACCGCCCGUCGCUACUACCGAUUGGACGGUUUAGCGAGGCCCCCGGAUCGGCGCGCCGCGGCUGGACUCGCUUCUGGCUGCGGCGACUGUCGAGAAGAUGGUCGAACUUGACCGUCUAGAGGAAGUAAAAGUCGUAACA